GUCGAGCGGACUCCUUCUUGGAGUCAGCGGCGGACGGGUGAGUAACACGUGGGUAACCUGCCUGUAAGACUGGGAUAACUUCGGGAAACCGAAGCUAAUACCGGAUAAUUUUUCGAGUCGCAUGACUCGGAAUGGAAAGAUGGCCUUUAGCUGUCACUUACAGAUGGACCCGCGUCGCAUUAGCUAGUUGGUGAGGUAACGGCUCACCAAGGCGACAAUCCGUAGCCAACCUGAGAGGGUGAUCGGCCACACUGGGACUGAGACACGGCCCAAACUCCUACGGGAGGCAGCAGUAGGGAAUCUUCGGCAAUGGGCGAAAGCCUGACCGAGCAACGCCGCGGGAGCGAUGAAGGCCUUCGGGUCGUAAAGCUCUGUUGUUAGGGAAGAACACGUACAAGAGUAACUGCUCGUACCUUGACGGUACCUAACCAGAAAGCCACGGCUAACUACUUGCCAGCAGCCGCGGUAAUACGUAGGUGGCAAGCGUUAUCCGGAAUUAUUGGGCGUAAAGCGCGCGCAGGCGGUUUCUUAAGUCUAAUGUGAAAGCCCACGGCUCAACCGUGAAGGGUCAUUGGAAACUGGAAAACUUGAGUGCAGAAAAGGAAAGCGAAAUUCCACGUGUAGCGUUGAAAUGCGUAAAGAUGUGAAGGAACACCAGUGGCGAAGGCGGCUUUCUGGUCUGUAACUGACGCUAAGGCGCGAAAGCGUGGGGAGCAAACAGGAUUAGAUACCCUGGUAGUCCACGCCGUAAACGAUAAGUGCU
rnacentral:rRNA from 2 species